GUUCCUUCACCUCAGAUCAAUUUAUUGAUGGAAAUACACCCGAACUGGUGAAUACCAUCCAAACACGCCCACGUUCGACGGCUUCCAUUGGCAAAUUACAAUCGAACAGAUAGAGGUGAAGUAAAACACAUCCUGGUUUGGCGCGCUUUGAAUCGCGUGGCGAGCGAUAGAAACGGUAAAUCUAAUUCGCAGAAUCUGGCAAGGACCAUCUGAAUCAAAUGGGCAAUCAGAACAAUCCGAAGCAGUACACCAAAUACAGCAAGAACACCUCGGAGUGCAAAGUGCGAAACAAGUGUGUACCAGUCCAGCGAAAUAUGUUCCGUCUGGGAUCCGGAAACCUGUUCUAUCUAAUAUUGAUAAAGAUAUUCACCAUUCUGAACAACAUAGCCAGCAAGUGCUUCUGAAUUCCAUAUGGUCUAGUGCAGACGGGAAUAAAAAUAAACGGCCGGUUAUGCCGCUGCCGUCGACAUUCGAUUUCAGUUAUUUCCACUAAUUAAUUUGAAUUAGUUUUGAUUCGAUUGAGCCAGUUUAGUCCAAGUUUAUGGAUGCUGUAUGAUAAUCAGUGAGUGGCCGCUGUGAGUGGGGGAAAGGGAAGAACGAUUAGUAGCAUGUGCAAUAGGGUGCCUCGAAGACACCAAUGUUGGGAAAAAUGUGAUUGCAUUGAGGAUAUACGAUUUCCCUAAUUUAGUGUUGUCUAUAAAGCUGAAGUAUUCCAAAAUCAUCCAUAAAUCCAAAAUUUUAAAACUGGAGUGACGAGCUUAUAGAAGUUAACCCUUAAAUGCGCAAUGUUGUUUUAAAACAACAAACCGAAAAUACGUUUAAUGUUAAUGAUUUCAUUUGUUGUUUACGUUAAAAAUAUUUUCGACGAUUUCUAAAAAAAUCGCCUUGCGCCUUUAAGGGUUAAGAUCUGUAUAAAUUAUCCAUAAACAAAACAUCAAUACUUCUUCUUCGUUGGCAUUACAUUCCCCACUGGAACAUUUCCGCCUCGCAGCUUAGUGUUCAUUAAGCACUUCCACAGCUAUUAACUGCGAGGUUUCUAUACCAAGUUACCAUUUUUGCAUUCGUUUAUCAUGCAGCUAACACGAUGAUAAUUUUAUGCCCAGGGAGUUCGAGGAAGACCUAACCGGGAAUCGAACCCAGCCACCCUCAGCAUGGCCUUGCUUUGUAGCCGCGCAUCUUACAGCACGGCUAAGGGGGCCCUAUGAGUAGUACUUAUACUCGUGGUAAUUAUAGGUAAAGUAAUUUUUGUUUUAGAAUCCAGCAUCACAUCUUUUCCAUCGUUGAUGUUCUCAUAGAACACCCUACUGUACAAGUGAGAGCUUAUUCUGCAUCAAGUGUGGCACUUCCCAAGCUGUGUCGCUUAAGUGCAUCGGAUUAGUGACGCACAAUUCCGAAGGGGAACGCUGGCGACCGACCAAUAUUUCUGGUCCCGAAGCACCGUCGAACCAAAUACCAUAUCGAUGGUGAUGAUCGUUCGGUUGCAACUCGGCAGUUGCAACUGUGUCGAAUGGGAUUUGAUCGAUGGACACCGUGGAUGGUGGCGGAUCCUUCAUCAGUUAUGCGGAGAAAGUCGUUAAAUGUUCAUAUAACUAGCAAGCGAAAGUGGACGUAAUAUGUUGGAUGGUGAUUGUUAAAAAUAGUAUUUACUGCAGGAUAAGUGGCUUCUGUUUGGAUUGCCGACCCAAAGAACCGCCACAUUCGGAGCAACGCGAUAGAACGAAACCCCGACAUGAUUCGAAAUGGAUAUACGCGUUGGCGACAGGAAGCGUGCAUCCGAGACGUCGUGUUUGCGUGCAUUGCGCUCAUGUUUCUACUGUGCUGUUGGUUCUGACGGUCAGGAAGACAAAAAAAAUGGUAGAUCGCCGCUACGCUUUUAGU